GCCAGUGUGGCUCAGUUGGUUGGAGCAUUGUCUCAUGAGCCAAAGGGUCAUGGGUUCAAUUCCCAGUCAGGGCA
rfam:Myotis brandtii contig323682, whole genome shotgun sequence.